rnacentral:lncRNA from 1 species
CUGCUACUGAACUCAUGGAGAUACUGACUACUUGAGUUUGAACUCUGACAACAUGAGUUUCAUGAUACUGAGAUACUGAAUGACUGAUAACAUGGAUGACUGUAUCUAACAGUCCUAAUUCUGGGGAAAACUAUCUGAGUUCCAAACUGUAUCUAAACAUCUAAGUCUGAAAUCAGUCCUAGCUAACGAGUGAUCUCUGAAACUGAUA